GACGAACGCUGGCGGCGUGCUUAACACAUGCGAGUCGAACGGAAAGGCCCUGCUUGCAGGGUACUCGAGUGGCGAACGGGUGAGUAACACGUGGGUGAUCUGCCCUGCACUUCGGGAUAAGCCUGGGAAACUGGGUCUAAUACCGGAUAGGAGCCAUUUUUAGUGUGAUGGUUGGAAAGUUUUUUCGGUGUAGGAUGAGCUCGCGGCCUAUCAGCUUGUUGGUGGGGUAAUGGCCUACCAAGGCGGCGACGGGUAGCCGGCCUGAGAGGGUGGACGGCCACAUUGGGACUGAGAUACGGCCCAGACUCCUACGGGAGGCAGCAGUGGGGAAUAUUGCACAAUGGGCGCAAGCCUGAUGCAGCGACGCCGCGUGGGGGAUGACGGCCUUCGGGUUGUAAACGCCUUUCGCUAGGGACGAAGCUUUUUGUGACGGUACCUAGAGAAGAAGCACCGGCUAACUACGUG
rnacentral:rRNA from 1 species